rnacentral:rRNA from 1 species
AUUGAACGCUAGCGGGAUGCCUUACACAUGCAAGUCGAACGGAGUGGCGAACGGGUGAGUAAGGUAUCGGAACGUGCCCAGUAGCGGGGGAUAACUACGCGAACGCGUAGCUAAUACCGCAUACUAUUGGAGCGGCCGAUAUCGGAUUACGUAGCUGGUGGGGUAACGGCUCACCACGGCGACGAUCCGUAGCUGGUUUGAGAGGACGACCAGCCACACUGGAACUGAGACACGGCCCAGACUCCAACGGGAGGCAGGAGUGGGGAAUUUUGGACAAUGCGGGAAACCCUGAUCCAGCCAUCCCGCGUGGGGGAUGAAGGCCUGCGUGUUGGAGAGCACUUUUGGCAGGAAAGCGGUACCUGCAGAAUAAGCACCGGCUAACUACGUGCCAGCAGCCGCGGUAAUAC